rnacentral:rRNA from 1 species
CCGCCUGGGGAGUACGGCCGCAAGGUUAAAACUCAAAUGAAUUGACGGGGGCCCGCACAAGCGGUGGAGCAUGUGGUUUAAUUCGAUGCAACGCGAAGAACCUUACCUGGUCUUGACAUCCACAGAACUUUCCAGAGAUGGACUGGUGCCUUCGGGAACUGUGAGACAGGUGCUGCAUGGCUGUCGUCAGCUCGUGUUGUGAAAUGUUGGGUUAAGUCCCGCAACGAGCGCAACCCUUAUCCUUUGUUGCCAGCGGUUAGGCCGGGAACUCAAAGGAGACUGCCAGUGAUAAACUGGAGGAAGGUGGGGAUGACGUCAAGUCAUCAUGGCCCUUACGACCAGGGCUACACACGUGCUACAAUGGCGCAUACAAAGAGAAGCGACCU